rnacentral:lncRNA from 1 species
UAAUACUGGAUACUUUAUGAAGUAUAUUGAUCCUAGGACUGGAUAAAAAUUAAUUAAGUAGUGAUUUAUUCGUGAUGUCAUUUCAAAUCCUCCAAUUCGGACUGGACUAGAUUUCAAGUCCUCACAUUUUGAUCCAGUCCUCUGCUUCGCCUCGGACGUGAUCAAAUUGCGUGUACUUGAAAUCUAGUCCAGUCCUCAUAGUCGGAUUUGAAAUAUUAUCCAUUGUCAAAUCAGAUGCCAAUGGUGGCCAAGGAAGAUUCAGUUUUGGUAUUUCUUGCACCUUUUGGCGAAGAAUCAAUGCAGCAUUGUAUAGAAUUUGUAACUCAUUGACUUUAGAAUUUCCCUCAGUUUCCGUGUUGGAAUUCAGAUCAUCAUCAUCAAUGGUACAGCUCUCUUCAUCAAAGUCCUCAUCGUUGUUUUCAGACUUAACUGACAUAUGUUCCUCAACCAAUUCAGAAGAAUCCAAAUUUUCCACAUAUACAAUCUCACUAACAUUUCUCAUUUUCGGUACACAGAACACAAGUUGGGGAUAACUUUUCAUCAGUCGUUGCUUGAGUUUAAAAGCUCUAUAUUUAAAUUUAGAUGCAUCCACAUUCUCAGUGUCCUUAGCAAUGAUAACAAAUUUCUCCAGCAAAUCUUUCAUAUACUUUAUUUGCUUAUUUCCGAUGACCUCCGUCUCGAUUACUUUCUUACAGAAUACAUCAUAAGACUUCUCGUACACUGAUGUAGAUCUUUCAGUCUCCGAUUGCUUCUUUGUCUCCCUGUUGAGAAAUAUUGUAUAAUUGCAGUAGCAAACUUUGUGAUAGCGGACUUCCAGAGCUACACAGUCUUUCCCCCGGAUUUGCACGAGUAUCCGUUCAUCAUUCUUUCUCUCGGCAGCUGUACGUAGAAGACCAGCAUCAAUUGUUUCUGCCAACAUGAGUGGGGUUCUUCUUCUCUUCUUAGUUACCUGGUGUGAAACAAAAU